rnacentral:piRNA from 1 species
UGGAGUUGGAAAGAAUACUUUCCCCUGGAC